rnacentral:ncRNA from 1 species
UAAAAGACUGUGAAAGAGAAAAGUAAUUUUAAUAAAAGCUUACAGAGAGCUAGGGAGGCUGGGAUCCUAGUAGCUAAGUAUUAAAAUGAAGUUCCCUCUGGAGUCGUCCACUGAAUUUAUAGUAAGUGAGACCGGAAUCUCUCGCCGUUAUUAGGGAGAAGAUAUAAAAAUUAGUCAUUCUAAUUAUGUAUCUUUUAAAGUGGGUUAUUUAUUAACCAACAAAGGUGGUACCGCGGAUAUAUCUCCCGUCCUUUAU